GAGCCCAAAGGAGAGAGGUGAAGGACAGGCGCUGCAGCCAAUGGGAGGAAGCGGCCGUUGAGCGGCUGAAGCGAGGAGGGAAGAUGGCGGCGUGAGGGGAGGAAGCGGAGCGGGAGCCCAGGGCUGCGGCCCGAGAGGCCUCCUCUCAGGUCUGUGUAUGCACCGUAUUGAUUGACAUUCUGAAGAAGAAAACUACACUACCAGAAAGUGACUGUCAAGACUUUAUGGUGAUAAAAUGAUCUGUGUAGCUAUGGGGAAAAAAGGGAAAAAUAUUCUUGUGGUUUCACUUGCAGAAUUGGAACCUAAGAAACAACAGUGGUAUUACGCAACUGUCUUUCGUUUCCCCUCAAUUGAAGGCUGAUUGUGAAGCUCUACAUGAACGCACUUCUGGUGAAGAAAAGUCCUUCCUUUGUCACCAUAAGAGAAAAUGAAGAACCAUCACUCUUCUUCUGCUCCAGCUCCUUAACAUAAAAUUUGACAUGUGAAACUUGUAUUGUGGAGAGAGGGGAAUAAUCUUGCCCUUGUGGAGCAAUUAAAAUGUAUAGUUGACAUUUCAUAGAAAUGAUGUCAGUUGUGCCAGCUUGUUGCUCACUGUUUUUGCACUCUACAAAUUUUUGUCCAUACAUUGAAAGAUGAAAGGCUGUUCUGACUUAAUAGUUAACCCCCUUCAGAAUACCAUAGUUAGAGAACUGCCUACUCUCAACAUUGCAUUUGGAAAACUUGACAAAUUGAUAAUGUCCUUUGACCAAGCAGAUCUUAAUGUAUGAAAGAUCCCAGCAGAAUAAUCAGGAUAUUAUAUGUGUUCUAAAUAAUAAUUUGUCAAAAGAAAAUAAAAAGCUAGGAAAAUCCACUAGCAGGGAUUAUUCUCCUGAAGGGCCUGUUUACACAUAGCCUCUUGGUGUCUCUUAUUUAGGCAGCUGAUACGAUAAUGGUCAUUUUUGUCCACUGUCUUUUAGUGCAUCCUUCCUUUUAAAAUCAGAAUGAACAAACAAAAUAACCUGUACGUAUUGAUCUGCCUAAAGCCUGGAAAAGUGAAAUGUUGCUGUAAAUUGCUGCUUUUCUAGCAAGUCCUUUCUCACAGGGGUGAAGCCUUGAGGACUUAAAAGCAAGCCCAGGUUCCCUGGGACUUAUGUGCCAUUCCAGGCAUGCUGGGGUAUUUCAGCAGCAAAUAGAGCAAUAUCUUUCUCCAAGUCAAGCUCUUGCCCAAAGGGAAAAACAGCGAGUAUAAAGGUUAUGUACUAUUUCCCACCACAUAGAUGAACAAAGUGUAGAUGUGCUCAGGAAGGGCUUCUUAAGUAGUUUCCUAGUGGGUAUAAUCCACAGUUAAGAAGGACACUCUAAUUUUAACAUGUUUACAGGCUAUUAUUUUUCUCUGUUGUGUGUGAUUUAUACAGGACAUUUUCUUUCAGCAUUGAUUAAUAGUUAUCUUUCACCACACUUUGCCAGGGUGAGUGGCUUCUUGGGGUGGGGGGUGGGGAGAAGACAUACCUUCUUAUGCUGGAUCCUGUAGCCCUUGUAGUGCACCUUACUUAGAUUAUUAAAAUGUGAAUGCCAACUGUUGUUUUUUAAACAAAAGUCCUAAAUUUGUGUUUAAAAUAGGAUGACAUAUAAUAAUGGUCAGUUACAGCUAACCAAACUUUAAAUACUAUUUGAUGGUCUGCUUAGAAUUAGCAAAGGGAUUAUUUUCUAUGAGGGAAAGCAGUAAUGCUCAGUUGGAGAACCGAUUUCCUGUUCCAUGAUUGUAAAAAUAAUUUGAAUAAGAGGAGCAUGCCACUUGUAUGGUGUCACCAGUUGUCAUUCUGUAUGAUAAAUAGAGGCACAGAAAAUACUUAACAGUGAUUUUAUUCUGCUUUUUUCCUUCAUUGAAAAAUCAGAUUUUAAAAAGGAAUGUUGAAGAGAAAACUGUCAAGCUAGCAAAAAUAUGUAGCUGCAGAAAAUAAGCAAACCUGUGAAUGCCUGGUCAGCUGGUGAGCUUGUUGUUCAGAUUGACUUUAAAGUAUAACGUCAUCUCAAGUCAGAUGGAAGUUCCAAAUUUAAAGUAACUGUAUAACCUUUUAGAAUGUUCUGAAGGACUAUCUAUUGAAUCAAUGAGUAUUUGGGAUAAAGUUCCUAAAGUCUCAGUGAACUCUAAGCAGUUUUCUUCAGAACUGAUACUAAAAAUUUAGAAAGUAUCUAACAUGGUGAUGGUUUGACUAGUCUGUGGAAUUUUGUUGAUGUCUUAGCUACUUGCACCUCAUUUGUCAAAGAAUAUGACAUCAUAUAUUGUUUGGAUUUCUCACAUUGUCAAAAUAGAUGUAAGCAAGAGCCAGCCACACAAAAGUCCAGUGAAUAAAUUCUUCCCUUAGCCCUCUUAAA